GGAGAGAUGUAUGAGUGGUUUAAGUUAGUCGCCUGGAAAGCGGCCACAGGUUAAUUCCUGUCGGGGGUUCGAAUCCCCCUCUCUCCGCCA
rnacentral:tRNA from 1 species